rnacentral:rRNA from 1 species
CCUACGGGAGGCAGCAGUGGGGAAUAUUGGACAAUGGGCGAAAGCCUGAUCCAGCAAUGCCGCGUGAGUGAUGAAGGCCUUCGGGUCGUAAAGCUCUUUUACCAGGGAUGAUAAUGACAGUACCUGGAGAAUAAGCUCCGGCUAACUCCGUGCCAGCAGCCGCGGUAAUACGGAGGGAGCUAGCGUUGUUCGGAAUUACUGGGCGUAAAGAGUACGUAGGCGGUUAUUCAAGUCAGAGGUGAAAGCCCGGGGCUCAACCCCGGAACUGCCUUUGAAACUAGAUAACUAGAGUCUUGGAGAGGUUAGUGGAAUUCCGAGUGUAGAGGUGAAAUUCGUAGAUAUUCGGAAGAACACCAGUGGCGAAGGCGACUAACUGGACAAGUACUGACGCUGAGGUACGAAAGCGUGGGGAGCAAACAGGAUUAGAUACCCUGGUAGUCCACGCCGUAAACGAUGAUAACUAGUUGUUCGGUCACUUGGUGACUGAGUGACGCAGCUAACGCAUUAAGUUAUCGCCUGGGGAUACGGUCGCAAGNUUAAAACUCAAAGGAAUUGACGGCUGAAGNNGCGAGNGACAGAGGAGAG